GACGAACGCUGGCGGCGUGCCUAAUACAUGCAAGUUGAGCGCUGAAGGUUGGUACUUGUACCAACUGGAUGAGCAGCGAACGGGUGAGUAACGCGUGGGGAAUCUGCCUUUGAGCGGGGGACAACAUUUGGAAACGAAUGCUAAUACCGCAUAAAAACUUUAAACACAAGUUUUAAGUUUGAAAGAUGCAAUUGCAUCACUCAAAGAUGAUCCCGCGUUGUAUUAGCUAGUUGGUGAGGUAAAGGCUCGCCAAGGCGAUGAUACAUAGCCGACCUGAGGGGGUGGUCGGCCACAUUGGGACUGAGACACGGCCCAAACUCCUACGGGAGGCAGCAGUAGGGAAUCUUCGGCAAUGGACGAAAGUCUGACCGAGCAACGCCGAGGGAGUGAAGAAGGUUUUCGGAUCGUAAAACUCUGUUGGUAGAGAAGAACGUUGGUGAGAGUGGAAAGCUCAUCAAGUGACGGUAACUACCCAGAAAGCGACGGCUAACUACGUG
rnacentral:rRNA from 1 species